UACGUAGGUGGCAAGCGUUGGCCGGAUUUAUUGGGCGUAAAGCGCGCGCAGGCGGCUAUGUAAGUCUGGUGUUAAAGCCCGGGGCUCAACCCCGGUUCGCAUCGGAAACUGUGUAGCUUGAGUGCAGAAGAGGAAAGCGGUAUUCCACGUGUAGCGGUGAAAUGCGUAGAGAUGUGGAGGAACACCAGUGGCGAAGGCGGCUUUCUGGUCUGUAACUGGCGCUGAGGCGCGAAAGCGUGGGGAGCAAACAGG
rnacentral:rRNA from 1 species